rnacentral:rRNA from 1 species
GACGUAGGGGCCAGCGUUGUUCGGAAUUACUGGGUGUAAAGGGUUCGUAGGCGGUGCGGCAAGUUGGGAGUGAAAUCUCUGGGCUUAACCCAGAGACUGCUUCCAAAACUGCUGUGCUUGAGUGUGGGAGAGGCGCGUGGAAUUGCAGGUGUAGCGGUGAAAUGCGUAGAUAUCUGCAGGAACACCCGUGGCGAAAGCGGCGCGCUGGACCACUACUGACGCUGAGGAACGAAAGCUAGGGGAGCAAACAGG